GCGGGUGUAGCUCAAUGGUCGAGCAGAAGCUUCCCAAGCUUACGACGAGGGUUCGAUUCCCUUCACCCGCUCCA
rnacentral:tRNA from 1 species